AAACACAUUGAAGAACUGAGUACUUCUCUUAGGAGUAGGCCGAGCUGUGCUUCAGAAGAACCAUCAGUGCCGUCACAUGAGCAAACCAGGCAAAGCACUGCUGCCAGUCCAGCCCAAAGAAAGAAAGCAUUACAUGCAGAUCAAAGAAACUCAAGUCUGCUGCAAUUCCUGAGCCGUGGUGUGAAAUUUAGGGAAGAAAGCCCAGAGGAAGGAGUGUCUCCAGAGGAAAAGAGUUUUUCUGUCAAAAAGGGUGUGAAAUGUUCAACCAUUUUCAAAGGCAAGUUGACAGAACAAGAAGCUCUGACUGGGGAAGAUGGUAAAGUUUCUCCCAUUACAUUUGAAACUAAUGGUACCUUAUUUGAGGCAAAGCUGUGCAGAUCUGCAGCACAAAGGACUGAAACUCAGCAGAGAUACAGAGUUGGACAUGAAGUUGGGUUUUGUGACAGUGUCCUUACAGCUGUGUCCAGACUCCUGCCAGUUCUCA
rnacentral:lncRNA from 1 species